rnacentral:rRNA from 1 species
GAAGUGUGGACGCCAGUCUGCAUGGAGCCGACCUUGAAAUACCACCCUUUAAUGUUUGAUGUUCUAACGUUGACCCCUAAUCGGGGUUGCGGACAGUGUCUGGUGGGUAGUUUGACUGGGGCGGUCUCCUCCUAAAGAGUAACGGAGGAGCACGAAGGUUGGCUAAUCCUGGUCGGACAUCAGGAGGUUAGUGCAAUGGCAUAAGCCAGCUUGACUGCGAGCGUGACGGCGCGAGCAGGUGCGAAAGCAGGUCAUAGUGAUCCGGUGGUUCUGAAUGGAAGGGCCAUCGCUCAACGGAUAAAAGGUACUCCGGGGAUAACAGGCUGAUACCGCCCAAGAGUUCAUAUCGACGGCGGUGUUUGGCACCUCGAUGUCGGCUCAUCACAUCCUGGGGCUGAAGUAGGUCCCAAGGGUAUGGCUGUUCGCCAUUUAAAGUGGUACGCGAGCUGGGUUUAGAACGUCGUGAGACAGUUCGGUCCCUAUCUGCCGUGGGCGCUGGAGAACUGAGGGGGGCUGCUCCUAGUACGAGAGGACCGGAGUGGACGCAUCACUGGUGUUCGGGUUGUCAUGCCAAUGGCACUGCCCGGUAGCUAAAUGCGGAAGAGAUAAGUGCUGAAAGCAUCUAAGCACGAAACUUGCCCCGAGAUGAGUUCUCCCUGACUCCUUGAGAGUCCUGAAGGAACGUUGAAGACGACGACGUUGAUAGGCCGGGUGUGUAAGCGCAGCGAUGCGUUGAGCUAACCGGUACUAAUGAACCGUGAGG